GGCCGUUUAACUUAAUGGUAGAGUAUUCAGCUGGUAUCUGAGAGGUACUGGUUCGAGUCCCAUAGCCGUCU
rnacentral:tRNA from 1 species